CUGCCCGAGCCCCGCCUGACACGCCGCGAGCGGAGGCCGCCGCCGGGACCGAAGCGCUGGGUGCCGAGCGGCAGAGCCGCCCCCGGGCAGGGGGCGGCCCUGGUCUCCGCCCCGCCCCGGGGUCCCCGCGCCCCCGCCCGGGGCUGAGGCGGCCGCCCUGAGCUCAGGCUCCUGCGCGGGCGGGUGGGCGAAGGGGCCUUCGCGGGAGGACCCAACUGUGCCAGCAACAUGGCAGCGUCCAGCCGGGCCCAGGUGCUGCGCCUGUACCGGGCCCUGCUGCGGGAGAGCCAGCGCUUCACCGCCUACGGCUACAGAACAUAUGCCAUCAGAAGGAUAAGAGAUGCCUUCAGAGAAAACAAACAUUUAAAGGAUUCAGAAGAAAUACAAACACUAGUGAAUAAAGCAAGAACAAACCUAGAGAUUAUUCAUCGGCAGGUUACAUGACAUUCUUCAUUGUCUCAUGACUGGUUCAGUGGUCUAUUCCGACACCCCAGCAUGUUAGCAUGCUGGUGAGAGACAGACCUCUCUGAACUCUGUAGACUACGUUAUGAGAGGUUAGGUUACCAUUGGUCAACUCUAUUCAACCCAGAAACUUGUUAUUGAGAGUCCAGAAAACACAGAGAUAAUUUGAUCAUCUAGCACCUUUGGACCAUCCUCAGCAUUCUGUAGUGCUGCACAUCCAACAUAGUGUGUAUGCACCCUGCCUGAGUUUGAAAAACUUAUCUGUCUAGUAAAAGAUAAAGCUUUUGAGAUGCUCAGUUUUGGCAACCAAAACAGUCUAGAAUUUCUCUUCUCAUGGUUCAUGCACUAAAAUGUACUGCUAAGCCUACAAUAGCGUGUAAUGUAUUCCUAAUAUCCGCGUUGCUAGUAUUUCAUGUGUAAUGAGACUGUUUCUUGGCCUUAUUUGACAAUAAAAUUCCAUGAACCGAA